rnacentral:piRNA from 1 species
UGAGUUCUCCUGCUUCAGCUCCUUAUUGC